rnacentral:rRNA from 1 species
UGGGGAAUCUUGGUCAAUGGGCGCAAGCCUGAACCAGCGAUGCCGCGUGAGUGAUGAAGGCCUUCGGGUUGUAAAGCUCUGUGGGGCGGGACGAAAAAACUACUUCUAACAGGAGUAGCCUUGACGGUACCGCCUUAGCAAGCACCGGCUAACUCUGUGCCAGCAGCCGCGGUAAGACAGAGGGUGCAAACGUUGCUCGGAAUCACUGGGCGUAAAGGGCGUGUAGGCGGGAAGGAAAGUCGGGCGUGAAAUCCCUGGGCUCAACCCAGGAACUGCACUCGAAACUUCUUUUCUUGAGUGUCGGAGAGGAAAGCGGAAUUCCUGGUGUAGAGGUGAAAUUCGUAGAUAUCAGGAGGAACACCAGUGGCGAAGGCGGCUUUCUGGACGAUAACUGACGCUGAGACGCGAAAGCGUGGGGAGCAAACAG